rnacentral:tRNA from 1 species
GGCGAGGUAGCUCAGCUGGUUAGAGCGUGCGAUUCAUAAUCGCAAGGUCGGGGAUCGUGCCCCCCUCUCGCUA